rnacentral:rRNA from 1 species
CGAAUACCGGAGAAUGUUAUCACGGGAGACACACGGCGGGUGCUAACGUCCGUCGUGAAGAGGGAAACAACCCAGACCGCCAGCUAAGGUCCCAAAGUCAUGGUUAAGUGGGAAACGAUGUGGGAAGGCCCAGACAGCCAGGAUGUUGGCUUAGAAGCAGCCAUCAUUUAAAGAAAGCGUAAUAGCUCACUGGUCGAGUCGGCCUGCGCGGAAGAUGUAACGGGGCUAAACCAUGCACCGAAGCUGCGGCAGCGAACGUAUCACCCAAGACAACUUUACGGAGUUGACGAUUGACGGAGCGAAGCGACGUCAAAGCGUUCAUUAAAGUCGAGUUGGCUUAGGGAUACGUUCGUUGGGUAGGGGAGCGUUCUGUAAGCCUGUGAAGGUGUGUCGUGAGGCAUGCUGGAGGUAUCAGAAGUGCGAAUGCUGACAUAAGUAACGAUAAAGCGGGUGAAAAGCCCGCUCGCCGGAAGACCAAGGGUUCCUGUCCAACGUUAAUCGGGGCAGGGUGAGUCGACCCCUAAGGCGAGGCCGAAAGGCGUAGUCGAUGGGAAACGGGUUAAUAUUCCCGUACUUGGUGUUACUGCGAAGGGGGGACGGAGAAGGCUAUGUUGGCCGGGCGACGGUUGUCCCGGUUUAAGCGUGUAGGUGUGUGUUCCAGGUAAAUCCGGUUCACUUUAACACUGAGGCGUGACGACGAGGCACUACGGUGCUGAAGCAACAAAUGCCCUGCUUCCAGGAAAA